UACGUAGGGUGCAAGCGUUUGUCCGGAAUUAUUGGGCGUAAAGAGCUCGUAGGCGGUCUGUCGCGUCUGCUGUGAAAACUCGGGGCUUAACCCCGGGCCUGCAGUGGGUACGGGCAGACUAGAGUGCGGUAGGGGAGACUGGAAUUCCUGGUGUAGCGGUGAAGUGCGCAGAUAUCAGGAGGAACACCGGUGGCGAAGGCGGGUCUCUGGGCCGUAACUGACGCUGAGGAGCGAAAGCAUGGGGAGCAACAGG
rnacentral:rRNA from 1 species